rnacentral:lncRNA from 1 species
CUCUCUCUGUCCGGCUUCCGGUGUUGACGCAUCAGUGCCCAUAAUCCAACUCAUGUGGUCCACCGGCGGCUCGCCGCGAUUGCGUCCACCUAGCGACGCGGUGCUGUAGCUCCGGGGAUAUCGAUGUUGCGGCUGAUUAGGAGCCAACCAUCCUCUUUUUACUGAUACAGGAUCCACGGUAUGAUCACUAAUUUUGGUUCUUCUGUUAUCCACGUUCCCAAUCUUUCAGUUGACCGAUUCGAUUGAAUGCAGUGGCAUUUGGUAAAUUGAAUAGCAUGAGCACCGAAUCAAUGUGCGACAUGCAUUUCUACUGGAUAAUUUUACCAGUAAUUAUAGGCGAGUGGGAAAAUAGACGAGGAGAAAUAUGUUUGUACAAUAUGUAUGUCAAGCACAAGGUUUGACUCCCUGUUUUGAUCGUUUAUUAGUAAAAACUAUUAAGUAGAAAGUGCCCUUUGCAGUAUCCAACUUAACUUGCUGAUGCAUUGCAAGUUCAUCUUCAUGAUUUUAUUAUGCAGUUCAUCAUUUCCCUGAAAUUGGUGUUUUCAGUUCGUAUAUACAAUGUAGUAACCCAUCAGUGGCUGAAUGUCGGCAUUCCUUAUAAUCCGUUUGCAAAAUCCCAUAGAUUCUGAGGUCCCUCUAAUCUGCAGUUAGAAGGGAUACAAAAAGUAUCCUCAGUUGCAACUAUAAGACUAGAAAAUAGAUAGUUAGUACUUUUAUAUGAAGAUAUCAGUGCUCCAGCAGGCCUCUGGGCUCAUAUUUAUAAAUGUUUCCACGUGAUACUUAGUACUUUUAUAUGAAGAAAGCAGUGCUACAACAGCCAUUUCCUCGAGCUUAGUGCUAGCAGGCAGAACAUAGGUACUGCCAGCCUGCUCAAUUUUUUUUCAGUUUCGGCGUUCAGUGUUUACUCAGUUUAGGGCCAUUAGUUGCUAAAAUCUAGUUUAAUCAUAUUGUUCCUAUCAUCGACGCCUGCAACUCUACACUAUCAUUGACACCGGUGUGUUUGUUGCAGAUGGAUCAAUUGCUUCAUUAGAUAAAAUAAACAGCACACCCUGCCAACAAUAUGAUAAUUCUCAUUGUGUCAACAUAUAUUCAGGACCAUACUUUCCAGAGGUAUACUCUAAUAAUGCGGUACUUGUAUUGCAAGUGAAGCAUGGGCUGAAUAGGUAAAUCAUAAGGGCAAAGUUUAUCCUCAACUGGUGCAGCAAGAUUGGAAAUAGACAAACGAGCAGUGUGAUUAUAAAUAUUUUUCAUGUUUUCCAAGUAAAAAGAAAGUUUCCAUAUGACUGUUAGUACUUGUGUAUGAACAAGUUAAUACCUGGGAUUUAUGUACAAGUCAGCGGUAUAUUAUUUGCUACGCAACUCUUGUUAUUCACUUUGUUGAUUUUGAAUGCCCUUUUUGAUGCCCAACUGAUGAAAUCCUCACUAAUUUUCAUGUUCCAGAUUUGAUCUUGCCAGAAUUCUCACUAUUAGAACCUGUACUUACAACCAGCUAUUGUUCCUGACUUCAUUUUGAUAGGAUCUACUCAUACUCUCGAUCAAUAGCAAUAUAGUGGUGAUUACAGAGGCAGGUUACAAGAUUGCGAGCUAGGGUUCGUCAUGGAGAGGAAGAAAUGGGGAGGGGAUAAGAGCCGAGCCGCCGCUGCCUUGAUCCACUGGAUACCCCUCCUCUCGUUGACGCUUCCUUUAGUAGUUGCUGCUGGCGCUUCAGUUAGUCCAUUCUGGCCCAUGGACCCUUAGGUUGGGCUAUCGAGGUCGAGUGGGCCUAGGUGCAGCCUGGCGAGUGUGGACGGCAUGGCCUUGUGGGUCCCCAUUGUCGGGGGCGCUGACAUCCCCUCCUCCUUGGGAAGAGGCUUGCCCCCAAGCCUCCUCAUGUGGAAACCGGGCCAUCAAGUUGGCUUUAUCUUCCCAAGUGAUGCCCAGGUUGGAAGUAGCUGACCAUUGUAUCUUCAAUUGCUCUUGGACGCCGUCUUUGUUGUUGCGCCAACGGGUCUGGAGAAUUGCAUCCGGCAAAGCUAGAUCAUCCAAACAAUGAGAAAGAUGAGGUUCAACAGUCAUACCUGGAAGGAGAGCUUGUCGAAGCAGCGAAAUGUGGAACACCGGAUGGACCGUUGCUUGUGGGGGAAGUUGAAGUUUGUACACCACUUCGUUGAUCUUGUCAAUGAUGGGAAAGGGCCUGUAGAACUUGUAGGCCAGCUUGUGAUUUGCUCUUGUAUGGUUGCAGCUUGAGGAAGACCUUGUCACCCACUUUGAAAACCUGAAAGGAUCGCUUCUUGUCAGCCUGAUCUUUCAUCAGCUAUUGUGCUCGAUUGAGGUGUUGUUGAAGUAGAGCUUGAACAGUGGUGCAUUCAGCCAGCCAAAAUUGCAGCGUGGGGACGGAGCAAGUACCUUCUGCUGUGACUCCCCAAUGACGAGGUUCAUAGCCGAACAUGGAUUUGAACGGCGUCAUGUCGAUGGCCGAGUGGUGUGCAUUGUUGUACCAGAACUGUACCAAAGGUAUCAAAAAACUCCAGCAUCGCAGGCAUGCUUGUGUGAAUCAGCGCAGGAAUGUUUCCACGCACUGGUUAACCCUCUCCGUUUGCCCGUCCGUCUGAGGAUGGUUUGAAGUGCUCAAUCUUAACUCUGUCCCUGCCCCUUUGAAGAGUUCUUGCCAAAAGUGACUAGUAAACACCGGGUCUCUGUCAAACACAAUAGCUGCUGGUAGGCAAUGGAUCUUGUAGACUUGGUGUAAGUAUAGCUGCGUGACUGACGCUGCCGUGUAAGGGUGAGCAAGAGGCAGAAAAUAGGCAAACUUGGUACGCUUGUCGACGAUGACCAGAAGGCAAUUGAAUUUGCUGGACUGAGAUAGGCCGUCGGCGAAAUCCAUAGAGAUCAUCUCCCACGGCUGACUGGGCACACGCAGUGGCUGGAGUAGACCCGGAGAAGCAGCCCAGUCUGGUUUGGCCUGCUGACAUAUCUGACAGCAGCGCACGUAUUGGAGGAUGUGCGUCUUCAUCUUUGGCCACGCAAACAAACGCCGGAUGCGAUGAUAAGUCACUGGAAAUUCGGAGUGCCCCUCCAUCAGGAUGUCGUGGAAAGUACAAAUGAUGCGUUGUCGUAUCUGCAUGCCUCCUCCCAGCCAAAUUCUACGACGAAAACGAAUGAGUCCUUUUUCAAGAGAAAAACGGCCCUUCGGGUCUUGCUGAAGUGACAACUGUUCCAGGAGGCGAGUGGCAUGUGGGUUGUUGUUGUAGCUGUUGACGACGUCUUCGAGCCAAGCGGGUACACAAGAAGUGAUGCUGUUUAGGAAAUCAAUUGGGUUGGCCCUUGAUAGAGCAUCUGCCCCUGUGUUCUCGACACCUUUCUUGUAUCUGAUUCGGUAGCGAAGGCCGAGGAGCUUGGUAAAGGCCUUCUGCUGCCAUGGAGUGGUUAGCCUUUGCUCUUCCAGGCGAAUUAAACUCUUCUGAUCAGUGAGAAUUAUGAACUCAGCAUGUUGGAGGUAGGGAUGCCAUUGAUCCACCGCUACAACUAUGGCGAGGUAUUCUUUCUCAUAGGUUGAAAGGCCUUUAUACCGCGGGCUGAGCACCUUGCUCAUGAAUGCAAUGGGGUGCCCUUGCUGUUACAAAAUUGCCCCGAUGCCGCGGUCGCUAGCGUCAGUUUCAAUGACGAAUGGCUGUUUGAAAUCUGGCAGCGCCAAGACCGGUGCAGAGAUAAGUUGAUGUGUUAGGACUUGGAAUGAUGUUUCUGUUGUGGACGUCCAUUGGACAGGUACUCCCUUCUUGAGCAGAUUGAACAAGGGGCGUGCAAUAACACCAAAGUUUCUGAUGAAGUGCCUAUAGUAACCUGCGAGCCCCAAGAAACUGCGGACUCCUUUGACAUCAGAUGGUGCUUGCCAGUCCUUCACGGCUGCGAUUUUGGAUGGGUCAGUGGACACGCCAUGGGCGCUGAUGGUGUGACCCAGGUAUGAUAUCUGCUGUUGACCAAAAACACUUGCUCAUUUUAGCCUUCCAGCAAUCCUUCCUCAGCAGCGCUAGCACUUGGGCAGAUGUUCAGCGUGUUCCUCCAGUGAGAAGCUGAAAACCAGGAUGUUGUCGAAGAAGGACACCACGCAGACGCGGUUAACUGGUUUGAGUGUUGUGGUCACAGCUCCCAAGAAAGUGGCUGGUGCACCUGCAAGCCCGAAUGACACAACUGUGAACUCAAAGUGUCCUUGGUGCGUUUGGAACACGGUCUUAUACUCCUCCCCAGGUGCCAGACGGAUUUGGUGGUAGCCCGCACGGAGGUCCAGUUUGGAAAACCAUUUUGCGCCAUGAAGUUCGUCCAAAAGUUCUUCGAUGAUAGGCACGGGAUACUUGGGCACUACUGUAAGUGCAUUGAGCUGCAUGUAAUCUAUACAAAGUCGCCAUGUGUCGUCCUUCUUUUUGACCAGAAUGACCGGUGAAGAAAAGGGGCUGGUGCUUCGCUGGAUGACCCCUGAUUUCAGUAGUUCUUCCACUUGAGUUUCGAUCUUCAUCUUGUGUUCUGGUUUAUGAAGAUACGACCGUAUGUUCACCGGCUGAGCUCCAGGGAUAAGAGGUAUCCUAUGAUUGCAAGCACGCCAGGGAGGAAGGCCUGUUGGCUCAAUGAAAUCAUCUGGGAACUCAUCAAGGACGCGCUGGAUGCAACCAGGAAUUGGAGUUGUAGCUGCCUGCGCAGGCGCGGCCAUGCACAGAUGCACCACAUGCAAGAUGGCACCCCGGCUGCAGAGCCCCUGCUGCUGAAUUGUGUUGAUGGACUCGUAGGUUGUUGCAGAUGCGUCGUGGCCGACCAGGCGGAGUGGGCCAGCUAGUGUAGGGAUCUCGAUGAAGCGAGCGCGCCAGUCGACGACCAUGGGACUGUGCUCCUCGAGCCAGUCCAUGCCCAAGAUGGCAUCGUAGGUACCCAACUCGAGCACCUUCAAGUCGGUGAAGAACUCCUGGCCUUCGGAAUACCAGGAGAUGUUGGGGACGAAGGCGGAGCAGGUGAGCUCGCUACCAUCCGCGACGCGGACGCGGCCGGGUCUUGGCAGAGGUUGGAUGCCGGUGAGUGUUGCAGCCAGACACUCGUCGACGAACGAAUUGGAGCUGCCGGAGUCCCCCGGGAGAAGAACUUCGUGUCCUUGGAUCCAUGCUCGAAGCUGGAACGCCUUCGGUGACACCCCUCCUGUGACCGCCGACAGGCAGAUGGCCAUGACAGAGUCAUCAGCCUGGUAUGGUGUUGGGACUUGCGUGUCGAUGGCGUUGUCGAGGCCGAAUAAGUCGAGCAGCUCCUCGACGACAUGUAGCUUCACAGAAGUGGGGCAUGUGCGAUCGUGCCCCCACCUCUUGCUGCACUUGAAGCAAAGGCCUCGAGCGCGCCUGUAAUCCCGGAGUGUCUUCAGUUUGGACCCCUCGGCACGGGAGGCGUCAGUGCCGCGAUGAUCGGUCGCGGGUACCGUGCGCGCCGAGGGCAACGGAAGAGGUAUCGGUGCGCCCGGCUUUGGCGUUGCAUCGGGUGGCCGAGGCAGAGUGCCAAACGCCCCGUCCGCCACUUCCUCUUGCAGCAACGCCAUGGCACAGGCCAUAUCCAGAUCGGGCGGUCGCUGUACGAGCACCACCGCACGAAUAUCCUUCCGCAAGCCCUCCACAAAACGUGUCAAAAAUAGAAUGGGUGAAUAGUAUCCGAAUAAGAUGAGAGAUGAUUUAUAAUCAACUCAAAUUGUUCAAUGUAACUAGUGAAUGUAGAAGUUUGGCGGAUAGUGUAGAACUAUCGAAUCGGCGUUUGGUGCCGAUCACGCCCAAAACGAGUACAGAGUAAACUAGCGAAAGAUUCCCAGGUGAAAUCUGAAAGUCGUUUUUGGAUUGACUACAACCACACCGAGGCUGAACCUGAAAAGUUCAGAGCAGCCAUCGGCAACCAAAAGGACUGUGAGAUCCCAAACAUUUGAAAAUAUUGCUCACAUAGUGUUUUCCACAGAUUCUGGUUGUCACCCGUGAACUGCGGAAACGAGAUGGACGGGUGUGUCUGUCCCAGCCCAAAGAGGAGUUGACUGGCGUGUGCAAACGGAGACAGGGAAGAAGGAGAUGCUGUCAAGGCAUUGUACUAACCCGUUACCGGGGGUAGCGGUGGGGUCUAGAAUGACGCUGCCACAGACCCCUGUGGCAGAUGAAGCAGGUCGUGGCUCACUGGCCCUUGUGGAGCAUCGAUCGCGCCAGAUCCAGCCUCCGUGUGGGCGUCAAUCGUCGCGGGUGGAGCGUGGAGUGGUGCGGUCGCCCGCGUCUCCGCGUUCUCCAUGGUCGACGGCGGCUGCGCCCAUUGAAGUGCUGCCACCGCAUCACCCAGAUCGGCAACCCGUUUCUCCAGAUCGGGCCGCCAUGCAAUGAGCUCGUCGAUCUUGGUCGUUGGGAGUUGUAUCUCAACGAUUAUUUGGACUGGGCCUUCAUGUUGGUGUCGAGACAGUCGAUGAAUACCUAGAUUGACGGAUCCAUGGCCGCGAGCACGGAACGUGCUUGCCGCACGCGAGGGUUUCAAUGAGGUUGUCCAGAGUGGAGUGGAAGGGAUGAGGGCUGGUCUCGGAUACUAGAUGAUAGGAUCUACUCGUACUCUCGAUCAAUAGAAAUAUAGGUGGCGAUUACAGAGGCAGGUUACAAGAAUUGCGAGCUAGGGUUCAUCGCGGAGAGGAAGAAAUGGGGAGGGGAUAAGAGCCGAGCCGCUGCUACCUUGAUCCACUAGAUACCCCUCCUCUCGUUGACGCUUCCUUUAGUAGUUGUUGCUGGUGCUUCAGUUGGUCCAUUCUGGCCCAUGGACCCUUGGGUUGGGCUGUCAGGGACGAGUGGGCCUGGGUGCAGCCUGGCGAGUGUGGACAGCGUGGCCUUGUGGCUCCCCAUUGUCGGGGGCGCUGACACAUUUUUGUGCAGGUUUGAUGCAAUUGAGGAUUAACCCAUGUUUUCUUUUGCGUCGACGGGUGAAGACUUUCAUGGCUGGGGUCACAACAAUCUCCUUAGUGUAGAGCUUAGAUUAGAAAUAAAUCAUGUAGUGCGUGGCUUUUGAAGUUCAGAUGGACAACUUCUGUAACGUUUAUGUUAUUUUUUGUAUCAAAUUCUUGCGAUGUUCCCACAUGUAAAUAUAUUGAUGUUUUUACAUGGAAACAGCUAAAAAAUAUUAUGUCCAGCCGAUCACAUAAUUCAGUUAUAAACCUUCAAGCAUUACAACUGAUUGAAGAAUAGAUCACAUGCAUCCUUUGCCAGAAUCA